rnacentral:rRNA from 1 species
UACGUAGGGUGCAAGCGUUGUCCGGAAUUAUUGGGCGUAAAGAGCUCGUAGGCGGUCUGUCGCGUCGGCUGUGAAAACCCGGGGCUCAACCCCGGGCCUGCAGUCGAUACGGGCAGACUAGAGUGUGGUAGGGGUAAAGGGAAUUUCCAGUGGAGCGGUGAAAUGCGUAGAGAUUGGAAAGAACACCGAUGGCGAAGGCACUUUACUGGGCUAUUACUAACACUGAGAGACGAAAGCUAGGGUAGCAAAUGGG